AGAACGAUGCUAAUAAUUGAAUCGGGAUUACUGUCUUUAUGUUUAACGUGAUGUUCCGGCAAUUCAAGCUCUUGUCACUUAGAGAAAAAGGCGCUAAUUUAAGGAGCUGUUUUAUUUGAUAGGUAACUAGGGUACGUUAAAGAAAUUAGGAACGCCUUCGUUUAUAGUAAAACGAUUUUCUAUGAAGGACUUAAAUAUCUUGGGACUAAAUUACACGGAAUUUCGUGAAAACUAUAGUUUGACGUGCGAAUUUUCAACAAAGAAACGCUUAUUUAAAUUAUUUAUAUAAACAGAAGUACGGUAAAA